CAGCCGCCGCGGGAAUACAGAGGGUGCGAGCGUUAAUCGGAUUUACUGGGCGUAAAGCGUGCGUAGGCGGCUUUUUAAGUCGGAUGUGAAAUCCCUGAGCUUAACUUAGGAAUUGCAUUCGAUACUGGGAAGCUAGAGUAUGGGAGAGGAUGGUAGAAUUCCAGGUGUAGCGGUGAAAUGCGUAGAGAUCUGGAGGAAUACCGAUGGCGAAGGCAGCCAUCUGGCCUAAUACUGACGCUGAGGUACGAAAGCAUGGGGAGCAAACAGGAUUAGAGACCCGCGUAGUCCCUGUCUCUUAUAC
rnacentral:rRNA from 1 species